CUGUGGAAUGGAAAUUCCAUGAUGAUCCACUCUGCCUUUAAUGAAGAGUAGUAACUGACCAAUCUUUGGAGUUAUCCCCAAGCUCCUGCACAGGCACAGGCUUUCAGUUUUGUUUUCUACCCUGG